CUUCCCAUGGCAACGGCGGCUCCUUAGCAACGGGCGGGAGGCGGCGGGGCCGGGUUUGUGAGCGUGGCCAUUUGCUCCCGAUCAGCGGCCGUGGGACGGCAGACGAGAGGGCGCCGCCGCGCUGGGGAGGCGAAGGGCCGCGUGUCUCCUUGGAUGGAUGGGUGGAAGGGUCUCAGCCUUCCUGAGGUGUGAAAGCCCACAAAGGCCUUUGCAGCUUCUGAUCCACAGCAGAGACCGAGCACUCCCCAACACCUCUUGGACAGUGCUGAGUAUCCGUUUGCUGUUUUAUAUUGUGCCCACUGAAAGGGGCACGAUUUUAAUAAUUGUUUUAUUGCUUCCUGAUUCAUUUCAAUGCAUUAUUUCAGUUAAUGAAACAGAGCUUCAGGCUGUGUAAAACUAACAGUUGUAUGGCUCACUUACGGAUAUACCUAAAAAUAUUACAAUGAUUUUUAUAUAAUUUA